rnacentral:snoRNA from 1 species
GAAAUCAUACUAUACAGAAUCAUUUCUGUAGUGUGUAUUUCGCGAUCCCAACCAAAAAGCGAAAAAAAAAACUGGAGCAUAAAGU